GAGGAGAUGGAAGAUUGAGAGCAGAGUGCAAGAAUGGGAAGAGGGCUUCGUGCCCUGUGCACGUUUGCCACCUAGUGACCAAACUGAGGUUUCCGAUGGCACCUGUGUCAAGGUCUUCCAACAACUCCGGGUCUUCCAGCGACUUCAAGUCUUCCAAUAAUCUCAAGGUCUUCCAGAUAAUCCUGAGCUUCCAGAAAAUCCACAUCUUCCAGACAAUCCAUGUCUUCCGGACAAUCCAUGUCUUCCAAGAAGCUCCAAGUCUUCCAGUAAAUCAAGUCUUCCAGCAAAUCCAGUCUUCCAGCAAUUACUGGUCUUCCACCAAAUCCAGAUCUUCCAGGAAAAUCCACGUCUUCCAGGAAAUCCAUGUCUUCCAAUAAUUUCAAGGUCUUCCAUCAAAUACAGAUCUUCCAGCUAAUCCAUGUCUUCCAGAAAAAUCUGUGUCUUCCACCAAAUCCAAGUCUUCCAGUAAAUCUAGUUCUUCCAGAAAAAUCUAGAUCUUCCAGUCAAUCAGUGUCUUCCAGAAAGAAAUCCAGGUCUUCCAGUCAAUCAGUGUCUUCCAGAAAGAAAUCCAGGUCUUCCAGUCAGUCAGUGUCUUCCAGAAAAAUCUACGUCUUCCACCAAAUCCAGGUCUUCCAGUCAAUCCACAUCUUCCGGAAAAAAUCCAGGUCUUCCAGCCAAUAUAUGUCUUCCUGAAGAUCCACGUCUUCCAGAAAAUCCAUGUCUUCCAGAAAAUCCAUGUCUUCCAGUAACCUCCCAGUCUUCCAGAAAAUCCACGUCUUCCCAACAAUCCAAGUCUUCCGGAUAAUUUGGGUCUUCCUGAAAAUCUACGUCUUCCAAAAAAGCCAUGUCUUCCAGAAAAUCCACAUCUUCCAAUGGCCUCCAGGUCUUCCAGACUAUCCAUGUCUUCCAGAAAAUCCUUGUCUUCCCUUAAAUCUAUAGCUUCCAAAAAAUCCGGGUCUUCCAGGAAAUCCGUGUCUUCCAGCAAGUCCACGUCUUCCAACAAAGCCAUGUCUUCCAGACUAUCCAUGUCUUCCAGAAAAUCCUUGUCUUCCCUCAAAUCCAUAGCUUCCGAAAAAUCCAGGUCUUCCAGGAAAUCCGUGUCUUCCAGCAAAUCCACGUCUUCCAACAAAGCCAUGUCUUCCAUCAAAUUAAUGUCUUCCAGCCUACUUGUGUCUUCCAACAAAGGUACGUCUUCCAACAAAGGUACGUCUUCCAACAAAGGUAUGUCUUCCAACAAAGGUACGUCUUCCAGAAAAUCCACGUCUUCCAACCAAGCCAUGUCUUCCAGAAAAUCCACGUCUUCCAGAAAAUAUAUGUCUUCCAACUAAGCUACGUCUUCCAACAAAUCCAUGUCUUCCUAUAUCUCCAGGUCUUCCAGCAUCUCCAGGGCUUCCAGCAUCUGCUCGUCUUCCAACAUCUCCACGUCUUCCAGCAUCUCUGUGUCUUCCAGCAUCUUCAUGUCUUCCAACAACUACCCAGUCUUCCAUCAACUGGCUCAAUAUCCAUGUCUUCCAACGUCUCCAGUGUGCUGAUCUUCUGACAUUCAGGUCUUCCAGUGUCUGCAAUAUCCAGGUAUUCUAACAUGUUCUAUAGUCCAGAUCUUCCAGCCUUUCCCCAGGUCCAGGCCUUUUCAAAUCUAGGCUUCCCCUGUCUGAGCCUUCCCAUGUUAAAAUCACUCUACAGAAAAAUCUUCCAACUCAACUAUUUCUGCUUCUAGUUGAAUUAGCUUCAAAAACAUUUAAUGGGACAUUCCUCCUUAUAGACCAGAUCUUAUGAACCAACAGUACUGCAGUUUGUGUUUUUUACUAUUAGGAAAUGUGUGUUUAAUCCCUACAACUUUUAAAAGUAAUGUCCAUAAUAAAACUUCUGCAGAAUAAACA
rnacentral:lncRNA from 1 species